rnacentral:rRNA from 1 species
AUUGCCGGGUAGCAAUAUUCGGCGGUCGGAGUGGCGUAAGGGUGCGUAACACGUGGGUAAUUUGCCCUGAAGUUGGGGAUAACUCGCUGAAAGGCGAGCUAAUACCGAAUGUGGAUCAAGGGUGGCAUCGCUCGUGAUCUAAAGUUGGGGACCGAAAGGCCUGACGCUUCAGGAUGAGCCCGCGGCCUAUCAGCUUGUUGGUGAGGUAACGGCUCACCAAGGCUAAGACGGGUAGCUGGUCUGAGAGGACGACCAGCCACACUGGAACUGAGACACGGUCCAGACACCUACGGGUGGCAGCAGUCGAGAAUUUUUCACAAUGGGCGAAAGCCUGAUGGAGCGACGCCGCGUGGGGGAUGAAUGGCUUCGGCCCGUAAACCCCUGUCAUUUGCGAACAAACCUUGCCCGCUAACACCGGGCGAGCUGAUUGUAGCGAAAGAGGAAGGGACGGCUAACUCUGUGCCAGCAGCCGCGGUAAUACAGAGGUCCCAAGCGUUGUUCGGAUUCACUGGGCGUAAAGGGUGCGCAGGUGGUCGGGUAAGUCUGAUGUGAAAUCCCGCAGCUCAACUGCGGAAUGGCAUUGGAUACUAUUUGGCUAGAGGGUUGGAGGGGGGACUGGAAUUCUCGGUGUAGCAGUGAAAUGCGUAGAUAUCGAGAGGAACACCAGUGGCGAAGGCGAGUCCCUGGACAACUCCUGACGCUGAGGCACGAAAGCUAGGGGAGCAAACAGGAUUAGAUACCCUGGUAGUCCUAGCCGUAAACGGUGCACGUUUGCUGUAAGAGGAAUCGACCCCUUUUGUGGCGAAGCU